rnacentral:lncRNA from 1 species
CGGCACACACUAGGGUCUCCGUCUCUCACACACACACACCACAAUGACGUCGUAAACAAUAGCACUAACCACCAUCGUCCGCAGCUCCCGCGUACAGAGGCCUCAGGCUCCCGGCUCCACGUGGACCGACCUCGCCCGGCAGCGCGGGGCCACCUCACCGCGAGCUCCUCCCGCAGCCCGGCCCGGGUCACCUCGACUCGCCAGGCUUAACUCAAUAACCACAACACCGGAAAAGGAAGCAAAGGUCGAAGUUCAUCCGCGGCCCUGAGGCCUGUGGGAAACGUAGUCCAACAACGAAAGAGCCCUGAAGCUCAAGCGGAGCCCGCUGGCCGCAGGGGCCGCACCACGCCCCAGACCCUGGAGUUUCCGGGUGCGCAGACCCUUGCCAUCAGCAGAGGCUGCCGCUGCGCGUCCCCUAGGCGCGGAAGAGGCGGCUGGUGGUCCCUGACGGCAAGGUUUUAUACAUUACGAAUAAAGCUGGCACGUUUCCAUUUCUCCUGGGCAAAUAUUUAGAAGAAAAGUUGCUGGGUAAUUGGUGGAGACAAGGUUUCGCCACAUUGACUGGGCUGGUCUGGAACUCCUGAGCUCAAGCAACCGGCCCUCCUUGACCUCCCAAAGUGCUAGGAUUACAGAAGCACUGAGACCACAGAGGCAAGAGCUGGGGAAGGAAAACUGCCCAUGAGAUGAGAUGUGCCUCUCAGCUUCCAAAAUCGGGGAGGGUUGCAAAGGGAUGACACCAUCCACACCAGAACUGCAUGAAUGGCAUCAGGAAUGAUCAGAGACCAUAAAUUCCAGUGAGACCAAUAACACCAUUUCUGGUCCUGCAUGCUCUUCCAAACUUUGCCACUAACCCCUUCAAGAGAUGCCCCCCAUGGAAUCCAGCCAUCAUGCUGUGAGGAAUCCAAGCAGCUACAUAGAAAGGCCACAACUAGAUAUUCCAGCUGUAGUCAGCUGAAGCUCCAGCCAACAGCCAACAUCAACCACCACACGUGAAAACGAGCAAGCCUUCAGAUGAUUCCGACUCCCAACCUCCAAGCCACCUCAGCUGAAGCCAAGUAGAGCAGAGACUAGCUGUCCCCCAAUGCUCUAAUAUGCAGAUUCAUAAUUAA